CUGCCGGGUGGGCGGGGCGGCGCCGCGCCGCAGGUGUCUGCCGACGGGGCGGCCAUCGACCUGGCCUGCUGGUACAAGAUCUGUCCGGCUGCC
rnacentral:tRNA from 1 species